AAUUUAAAAAGACACAUUUAAAAAGUUCAUUAAUAUAUUUUCAACUAUCGUCUUUUCAUUAAAAUAACAUUUAUUAUACGUAGAACCGAGAACUGCGCGCUUCUAUGGGGACAGGGUGCCUGGAAUGACAGGGAGUGCAAAUCCCACGAACAUUUUAUCUGCAAACAGAAGGACAGCAGUGUUGUUGUUGGAUAGAGACAUGCGAUAUCGUUGUUCAGUUUUAAAUUCUCAAAUGAAUUACAGAUAUAGAUCUAUUGAUAAAAAUCUUACUCUUC